rnacentral:ncRNA from 1 species
UAAUACGCGUUGAGUGGAAGUAGUAAAAGAUUGAUUCAUUAGGUAUAGAGAGCUGCGGGGUGGUGAAACGUAGUCCAAUGACACUUUGAACUUGUCCAGGAGUGGUAAAUUAGUAAAAGAUACAUAAAAUUGGUUGUUUUCCUUAUCUUUUACUAAUUUAACGAUUGACCUUCGUUACAAGGUAUUAGUAUAAUUACAUGUACUAGCAAAGCAGAAUUCUCAUGUUAGAAUUAAUAAGAGUGGUACCGCGGUAGUCAAAACUCAUCGUCUCUUGU